rnacentral:lncRNA from 1 species
UCAAAUAAGCUACAAUUUUUGGGCUGAAUAGACAAGCCAAUCAUCUGAAUGGAUUUUUACUGAUGUUGCCCCCAAAUCCACAACACGAUCGUGAUUGAAAUAAAAUCCCAACAGCAAAAUCUGAUUUGUUCGAAUACUCUCUCUACCCACAAGCUGUUUUGGCAUUUUCAUUCCCUCUGAUUGAGGAGGGUUUUGGAGAAUUUUUGGUAGAUCUGAUGGAAAUGGAGGUGGUGUUAAGAAGAGGGUUUUUGAAGUGGAUUUUGAGGGGAUAGUGUUUGGGAUGACGUGGAUUUGGAGGAGGGGAUUGUGAAAGAGGGUUGCUUCCAUGGUUGAUUUGAUGAUGGUGGAUGAGGAGAGAGAUCGGUUCAUUCCGUGAAGUUUUAAGGUUGAG